UCCAAGGUGAGGUAGGGAAGAUGCUGUCCC
rnacentral:piRNA from 1 species